ensembl:lncRNA FARP1-AS1 FARP1 antisense RNA 1
AGUUGUCUCCCAGGUGGAUGGAAAGAGGACAUUUUGCUUUGCAAGGGUCUCUCUUCAAAAGGUUCAAAUUUCGUGCAGCUUCUGGAAAUUCUCCAUCUUGAUCAUCGUACCGUGGAGCUGUGCCACCAUCUCCGUGAUCUCUGCCAAAGCGGCUGUGAAGGAAAGACAUACACAGUCUGCAGCGGGAAAGGCAGGCAGGGGUCUUCCCCUAGCAGCUGUCAGCUCAACGCUGCAGGGAAAUCACUCCAGUCCCUGCACAGUAUUCAAAGGUGUCUUUUGAGCAAAAACAGUGCUAUUUCUCUAUAAUAAAAAUUGAUGGUGUA